rnacentral:rRNA from 1 species
UACAGAGGGUGCAAGCGUUGUUCGGAAUUAUUGGGCGUAAAGGGCGUGUAGGCGGCUUGCUAAGUCAUGUGUGAAAUCCCUCGGCUUAACCGAGGAACGACGCAUGAAACUGGCAAGCUAGAGUACCAAAGAGGGGGGUGGAAUUCCCGGUGUAGCGGUGAAAUGCGUAGAUAUCGGGAGGAACGCCAGUGGUGAAGACGACUACCUGGACCAAUACUGACACUGAGGCGCGAGAGCGUGGGGAGCGAACAGG